rnacentral:tRNA from 1 species
ACUCAAUAAGCUCAGUUGAUAGAGAAUCAGACUUUAAAUCUGAGGGUCAUGGGAACAAGUCCCUAAUCAUGUG